UAAGUGAUGACGUCACAGUUCCUUCGAUACGCAUAACAACGAUCCCACUGGGGACAAACAAAAGUAGCGUCGUCUCCACCGACCCAGUUGUCAGUGGCAACAUAUAGGAAUCGUGUACAUUUCUUCGUUUCUUCUUUGCUGUUUUCAGUGAGUGUUUUGUUUUCUCUUUGUCCUUGAUCUCGACGAUGUUGUCGUGCUCAUUACCUUACUGAGACGUCUCUUGUGACUGUAGCCAGUGUCAUGGAGUAUUUUAUUGGCGUGACAAGGUAGAUCGCCGAGAUCGAGCGUGAAAAACGCUCUGCAUUAGUAGCUCCUGUAGAAUGUUUUCUGGGUUGGCCUAUCCAUGGUCAACAAAACCAAGGUGCAAGACAGCAUGAGAGAUCGUGUUAACGAUGUGAACUCCAAAAGAUAAUCUGGCCAAAUUUAUUGUAACUAGAGAGUGCAAUCGUGCACUGCUUGGGGCCCAUCCCAAUGUCAUCACAUGGCUGUGGUGACUAGUGUAUAUCUGGGAGAAUUUUUCCUCGACUGAUACGGAGUGCAGAUGGAUCGAUUAUGAGAAAUGCGAACAUGUGAAGUUCAAGGCUAGAUGCACUUCACAUUCGGCGUGCGAUCUCAGCGUCUGGGACCUGAUGAAGUCUUGGUUGGAUGAUUAUUCAAGCCUGAUACUACUCGACACACCAAUGUACAUGUCAAUGUAAUUUUUUCAGAGCUGCACUAUUUACGUGUUGAUGCUUACUUCGGUGUUAGCGUGUUUCCCCCGGAUUGUUUCUAUCAUCAUGAUCGUGUGUUCUUGGGCUGAGCGAGCACAUGCACAAGUGUGCAGCUAUAACCCUGUGUAUCUUUGGUUACACUUUGUUCUGCAAUGCAUGUACCUUGUAACAUUAUGUGCUUGCACUGCUUUGUCUGGCCUGCGUAUUUCAGGACUAUUCAGUGCAUUAGACCCAGUUUUGUUUGGUUGCCGGAUGACCUCUUGUUGCGUCGCUCUGUAUUUGUAUUCAUCAAUUUUUGGGCUUGAGAAUUGAGCUGUUGUGUGGUUUCCAAUAUGAAAACAUCAUGCUGGUGCUCUGUGUUUCGAUUAUCGACUGUCGGAGCAGUCAUGCAUUUAUUAGCAGAACGGUCAAUACUGUAGUCUUUUCA